rnacentral:rRNA from 1 species
AUACGGAGGGUGCAAGCGUUAAUGGGAAUUACUGGGCGUAAAGCGUACGUAGGCGGUUAUUUAAGUCAGAUGUGAAAGCCCCGGGCUUAACUUGGGAACUGCAUUUGAAACUGGGUAACUAGAGUUUAGUAGAGGGGAGUGGAAUUUCAGGUGUAGCGGUGAAAUGCGUAGAGAUCUGAAGGAACACCAGUGGCGAAGGCGACUUCCUGGACUCAAACUGACGCUGAGGUACGAAAGCGUGGGUAGCAAACGGGAUUAGAUACCCUAGUAGUCC